UCCACAGGUGAGAUCAUUCUUACCUGUUCCUCCUUUUGGAGGGCAGAGUUCAUGAUGACUAGAGUUCACACGAUAUGUGAUUAAUUCUCUGCAUAAUCAGGAUCUGCAACAUCCUGAUUGCUCCUACCUGAU
rnacentral:snoRNA from 8 species